AGGCCAUGGUGUGGGCAAACUUAUUGGAGUUCUUUAUAGCGAUCUCAUGCCUCAUAUAGGGAUUCAUGUUCAUGUUGGGUACAUGAGGUUAUUUCUUUGAUAAGCCU
rfam:Jatropha curcas cultivar GZQX0401 scaffold252_11, whole genome shotgun sequence.